AUCAUUUUUCAGCAUUUUUAAUAUUACACAAAAAAAUAAUUUUUGUAGCAGCCGUGUCGACCUGGACUAGCCGUGGCAGUUGCGCUGCCACCGGUCACCGUCACAUGUGCCUCCAUAUAUCCUAGCUUGGGUACACGGGCUAGAUCCAACCCCUUGGGUGGAUGGUGGCAUAUGGCGAACCAGGUGGGG
rnacentral:ribozyme from 1 species